UACCCCCGGCGGGACUCGAACCCGCAAUCCCCGGUUUAGGAGACCGAUGCCUUAUCCAUUAGGCCACGGAGGC
rnacentral:tRNA from 1 species